rnacentral:rRNA from 1 species
GUGAUCGCGUUCAAAACUGCAGGUCUUGAGUGAAGUAGAGGCAGGCGGAAUUCCGUGUGUAGCGGUGAAAUGCGUAGAUAUACGGAGGAACACCAGUGGCGAAGGCGGCCUGCUGGACAUUAACUGACGCUGAGGCGCGAAAGCGUGGGGAGCAAACAG